UAGGGAAUCUUCGGCAAUGGACGAAAGUCUGACCGAGCAACGCCGCGUGAGUGAAGAAGGUUUUCGGAUCGUAAAACUCUGUUGUUAGAGAAGAACAAGGACGUUAGUAACUGAACGUCCCCUGACGGUAUCUAACCAGAAAGCCACGGCUAACUACGUGCCAGCAGCCGCGGUAAUACGUAGGUGGCAAGCGUUGUCCGGAUUUAUUGGGCGUAAAGCGAGCGCAGGCGGUUUCUUAAGUCUGAUGUGAAAGCCCCCGGCUCAACCGGGGAGGGUCAUUGGAAACUGGGCGACUUGAGUGCAGAAGAGGAGAGUGGAAUUCCAUGUGUAGCGGUGAACUGCGUAGAUAUAUGGAGGAACGCCAGUGGCGAAGGCGGCUCUCUGGUCUGUAACUGACGCUGAGGCUCGAAAGCGUGGGGAGCAAACAGG
rnacentral:rRNA from 1 species